rnacentral:rRNA from 1 species
CGCGGACAAAGGGAAGCGAGGCGGCGACGCGGAGCGAAUCCCAAAAAUCGCGCCCCAGUUCGGAUUGUAGUCUGCAACCCGACUACAUGAAGCCGGAAUCGCUAGUAAUCGCGGAUCAGAAUGCCGCGGUGAAUACGUUCCCGGGUCUUGUACACACCGCCCGUCACACCAUGGGAGUCGGGAAUGCCCGAAGUCAGUGACCCAACCUUAGGGAGGGAGCUGCCGAAGGCAGGCCUGGUGACUGGGGUGAAGUCGUAACAAGGUACC